rnacentral:snRNA from 1 species
AGCUUUGCGCAGUGGCAGUAUCAUAGCCAAUGAGGUUUAUCCGAGGCGUGAUUAUUGCUAGUUGAAAAAUACUGUUAAGAAA